rnacentral:rRNA from 1 species
UACGAAGGGGGCUAGCGUUGUUCGGAAUCACUGGGCGUAAAGGGCGCGUAGGCGGCUGUUCAAGUCGGGGGUGAAAUCCCGUGGCUCAACCACGGAAUGGCCUUCGAUACUGGACGGCUCGAGACCGGAAGAGGUGAGUGGAACUGCGAGUGUAGAGGUGAAAUUCGUAGAUAUUCGCAAGAACACCAGUGGCGAAGGCGGCUCACUGGCCCGGUACUGACGCUGAGGCACGAAAGCGUGGGGAGCAAACAGG